rnacentral:rRNA from 1 species
GUCUAUGGUCAUGCUACCCUGAACAAGCCCGAUCCUGUCCGAUGUCGGAAGCUAAGCAGGGUUGGGGAUGGUUACUAAUUGGAUGGGAGACCGCCUAGGAAGACCAGGUGCUAUAGGCA